CACAAAGCAUUAACUUAGCCCAUUCAACUUAGCAAACUCCAAGCCCAUUCAAUUUUAAUUUACUCAAAAAUUCCAUGGAGGAAUUAGA